UCAUAAGCAACAAGUGUACUAAGUUUCAAGUUGAUUAGACUUCAGCUUCAUCAAAACUAACUUGACCAAAAACUUUAACCUGGAGCAGGGCGAACGAACGGACGGACGAACGGACGAACGAACGGACGAACGGAGGCACAUACCAGAAAACAUAAUGCCGCUCUACUAUAGUAGGUUGGGCAUAAAAAACUGAAAUCAAUAACUAGUCAAAUCUAGAAAUAUGAAAGAAUAUAAUUGGUAAAUCUAGCAACCGUGUUUCACUCAAUUCAAAAGUAGUUGAAGAGAAACAAAAUAUACCAAGGGG
rnacentral:lncRNA from 1 species